GCGCUGCCCUUGCAGCUCCUGUGGUGAAGCAUUCUCUGAAAUGCCUUUUGUUGACUCCCAGGAGUUCUUUUGUGCCGGAGUCCAAGCCGAGGUUCAUAAAUCCGCUAAUGAUGGCUCGGUCUGGCUGUGCAGCCUGACCUCCCCACCACGGGCAGUGCCUCUUUCAAACAGGCCUGGCCUUGCUCUGGGAACGGGACAUUAACACUAAUGACAGUGGGAUUCACUAAUGACAGUGGGAUUCACGGAUAGCCAGAUCUCUCCAUGCUGGUGCUGAUAAAUGGCCUGGCUGCUGCUGUUCCCCUCUGCAGAUGGAGGCCUGAAGGUUGCCAAGCAGUGAUCUUACGGCAGAACAACCUUGCUCUGCAUGCUCUCCACACCCUACAUCCCAAUGGCUUAUCCCGCCUUCCUCCCCUCUGCCCGCCCUGCUGUUGCAGGCUUUGUGGUGCAGAUGUGCUUCCUGCCAUCCAGAUGGGCUGUGGGAUGGAGCAGGGAGCAGUUACUGGCAUUCCUGUGCCAUAGCCAGACUCAUUUUGGUCUGAUGGCUUCAGUCUGGCUCGUUUUGGUGUUUGGUCUUCAGUUCAGCCUUCCUGCUUCUAAUGGGAAGUGGGCAAGUCAGCGCCUGCACUGCUGCUUUCAGGGAGAUGGGAAAAUAGAGAAGGCUUGGCAGGCGCCUGGUGGAGAGGCUGGAGAACAUGAGGAAGAACGCGAUGGGGAACGGCCUCUCGCAGUGCCUGCUCUGUGGGGAGAUGCUGGGGCUGCUGGGCAGCUCCUCUGUCUUCUGCCAGGACUGCAAAAAGGUGGGUUUGGUCACACGUGCCUGCUCCUGGCAGCAGAGCUCUCUAGGAAAUGCCACCGGGCCCCUUGGAAGCUGGAGAGCUCUGCAGGGUUAACUCAUUUUAUUCUCAGUGGUGCUGUCAGACCAUUGAGUUUUCUGUUGCAGCCUGAUGAUAAUAAGAGAUUCCUUGGGAUCCUAAAGUGCCUGAGCUGCAGUCAGUGCUGGAAUGGGAUGUGCCAGCCCCUCUGCAUCUCCCAGCUGGGGUUUGCAGUGUGGGAUGAGGGACAGAAAUGUGCAGCCAUCAAAGACAACUCACAACAGAGUCUGUGAGCUUUGCUCAGAGACUUUCCCUGAGACUUUCCAAGAGGACUCAGGUCCAUCCUCAAGCUCCAAACCUGUGUAAGUUUUCCAGCCCAGAGCCUCAGGGCCUGCCUGUGUUGUGUGUGUUGACAGGGAGAGCCCCAGGGAUGAUUCCUGCUGCUCUUGGCUCCACAGCCGAGGGGUUAAUCUGUGCUGCUGUGGAGAUGAUGAUCUCCAGGGCAACCACCUCAUCCUGCCUCUGCUGGGAGGUGGUUCUCCUGCUCUUGAAGCCCACCUUCCCCUGGGGACUCAUCUCUGGGAAUUCCUUCAUCUCAGCAAGGUGAGGGCACCUGCUGAGUGCUGGGGUGUUUCUGACUCAGAAAAACCUGCUGCUUUACCACGGACUGGUGGUUGGACCAUGGGGGACAACCUUUUGUGGCACUGCUGGCCUUUGUGGGACACAGUUCUGGUGCAGAGCAGCUGCUGUGAGCUCUGCUGGAGCAAUGCAGGGAUUAUGCAGAAGAUUCCUUCUAAAUGCAGUGCCUGGGAAAGGAAACACAAAUCUUGGAGCCCCUGGGUCCUAAACUGUGGGGAAAGCAGCUUUUGAGGAAGGGGUGUGGAAGGAAGCAGGAGUGGGGAGUGAAAGGUCUGGUUUGAAUGGGAGCAGCUCUGAGAGCAGCAUGGUCUCUACACUGUGAGGAAUAAAGGCUUGGGUGGCAGGCA
ensembl:lncRNA